GACGGAAGGUGCAGGCGUUGCUCGGAAUCACUGGGCUUAAAGGGCGCGUAGGCGGCAGACCAAGUCCGGGGUGAAAUCUUUCGGCUUAACCGGAAAAGGGCCUUGGAUACUGGUUUGCUAGAGGGAGGUAGGGGUCUGUGGAACUUCUGGUGGAGCGGUGAAAUGCGUUGAUAUCAGAAGGAACGCCGGUGGCGAAAGCGACGGACUGGAUCUCUUCUGACGCUGAGGCGCGAAAGCCAGGGGAGCAAACGGG
rnacentral:rRNA from 1 species